AGCAGAGUUAAGCAAUGGUUGCUUGGUGGUCUCAUAAGCCGCACUUUGUAGGUUCAAUUCCUACCUCUGCUU
rnacentral:tRNA from 1 species